UCUACCCUCUUCUCUAGUGAUCUUUUUGUCUGGAUAUUUCAGCAGUGAUUUCGUUCCUUACUGCUUCCCCAGCAGCUCAGCACUGCAUUGCCUGAUGCAGUCACUGAACCCAGAGGUGAAUUUCCACCUCAAGAGGAGCAACCUAUGGCACCUACCAACUUGUGCUAAAGGGAAAGGCUGCAGCAUGUGUGUAUCUAUACCCCACAUUGGAAAUUAGAAGAAGCAAAGCCCAGAUCAGAAGCCCAGCGGGUGCUAUUUCCUGGCACCGGAUGCAGAUACCGGCAGGUCUGCCACAAAGCAAGAAGUGGCUCUGGGGUUUGUCAUUUUGGGGACAGUCUUGUGAACUUGUGAUCUAUGGACGGGGAAAAUAGCAGCGUGGAUUUCAGGCAUUCUGCAAGUGGUUUUUCUCCUGCUGAGAAGCACGAUGCUCCCACCAUCUGCCCGUGCUGGCACCGGGUCUUCCUGAAAACCAGUGCUCUGGGGCUGCUGCUGCUACUGCUGACUGCGCUCGGCGUGCAGGGUGAGUGACAAGCUUGUAAACCACAUCCACCACAUAGAAACCACAGCUUCUCAGAGCAGAAAUCUGGUCCUUUUCCCCCAGGAGUGCUAUCUGGGCUUUUGUGUCGGGCUGGGGGUGACCACCCAGCAAUCCCAGUGCUUCACCCAACGUGGGCAGAAGAUGCAAGCAAUAUUUCUAUGCUUUCAGCUGGCUUCACUAAUUGAGGGCCACCACAACCAGAAUAGAUUGGCACAAAAGCUGGGGGGUCCAACCCCAUCUCUGCUUGCUUCCCAUGGCUUUGUCCCCACACAAGCACAUCUCACCCCACUUUCUGCCUAAGAGUUUCUUGGAAAGCAACACCACAUCCAAGCACUCCCCAGCACAGCGCUGAGAUCCCGGGGAGGAAUGGGGUGGAGCCGUGUGUGACCUCUUCCCUUCUGCAGUAUCUUUACCGAUCCACCAGGGGCAGCAACCUGGAAGGACCACGGAGGAGCAGCUGCUGAGGGAAG
rnacentral:lncRNA from 7 species